rnacentral:tRNA from 19 species
GCGGGAUGGAGCAGCCUGGUAGCUCGUCGGGCUCAUAACCCGAAGGUCGUCGGUUCAAAUCCGGCUCCCGCC